UCCGAUUAGCUAGUUGGUGAGGUAAUGGCCCACCAAGGCGACGAUCGGUAGCCGGACUGAGAGGUUGAACGGCCACAUUGGGACUGAGACACGGCCCAGACUCCUACGGGAGGCAGCAGUGGGGAAUAUUGCACAAUGGGGGAAACCCUGAUGCAGCGACGCCGCGUGGAGGAAGAAGGUCUUCGGAUUGUAAACUCCUGUUGUUGAGGAAGAUAAUGACGGUACUCAACAAGGAAGUGACGGCUAACUACGUGCCAGCAGCCGCGGUAAAACGUAGGUCACAAGCGUUGUCCGGAAUUACUGGGUGUAAAGGGAGCGCAGGCGGGAAGACAAGUUGGAAGUGAAAUCUAUGGGCUCAACCCAUAAACUGCUUUCAAAACUGUUUUUCUUGAGUAGUGCAGAGGUAGGCGGAAUUCCCGGUGUAGCGGUGGAAUGCGUAGAUAUCGGGAGGAACACCAGUGGCGAAGGCGGCCUACUGGGCACCAACUGACGCUGAGGCUCGAAAGUGUGGGUAGCAAACAGGAUUAGAUACCCUGGUAGUCCACACCGUAAACGAUGAUUACUAGGUGUUGGAGGAUUGACCCCUUCAGUGCCGCAGUUAACACAAUAAGUAAUCCACCUGGGGAGUACGACCGCAAGGUUGAAACUCAAAGGAAUUGACGGGGGCCCGCACAAGCAGUGGAGUAUGUGGUUUAAUUCGACGCAACGCGAAGAACCUUACCAAGUCUUGACAUCCCUUGACGAACAUAGAAAUAUGUUUUCUCUUCGGAGCAAGGAGACAGGUGGUGCAUGGUUGUCGUCAGCUCGUGUCGUGAGAUGUUGGGUUAAGUCCCGCAACGAGCGCAACCCUUAUGGUCAGUUACUACGCAAGAGGACUCUGGCCAGACUGCCGUUGACAAAACGGAGGAAGGUGGGGAUGACGUCAAAUCAUCAUGCCCUUUAUGACUUGGGCUACACACGUACUACAAUGGCGUUAAACAAAGAGAAGCAAGACCGCGAGGUGGAGCAAAACUCAGAAACAACGUCCCAGUUCGGACUGCAGGCUGCAACUCGCCUGCACGAAGUCGGAAUUGCUAGUAAUCGUGGAUCAGCAUGCCACGGUGAAUACGUUCCCGGGCCUUGUACACACCGCCCGUCACACCAUGAGAGCCGGGGGGACCCGAAGUCGGUAGUCUAACCGCAAGGAGGACGCCGCCGAAGGUAAAACUGGUGAUUGGGGUGAAGUCGUAACAAGGUAGCCGUAGGAGAACCUGCGGCUG
rnacentral:rRNA from 1 species